rnacentral:rRNA from 1 species
GACGAACGCUGGCGGCGUGCUUAACACAUGCAAGUCGAGCGGUAAGGCCCUUUCGGAGGUACACGAGCGGCGAACGGGUGAGUAACACGUGGGUGACCUGCCCUCAGCUCUGGGAUAAGCCUGGGAAACCGGGUCUAAUACCGGAUAUGACUCCAUGACGCAUGUUGUGGGGUGGAAAGCCUUGUGCGGCUGAGGAUGGGCCCGCGGCCUAUCAGCUUGUUGGUGGGGNGAUGGCCUACCAAGGCGACGACGGGUAGCCGGCCUGAGAGGGCGACCGGCCACACUGGGACUGAGACACGGCCCAGACUCCUACGGGAGGCAGCAGUGGGGAAUCUUGCGCAAUGGGCGAAAGCCUGACGCAGCGACGCCGCGUGAGGGAUGACGGCCUGGUGUAA